GACGAACGCUGGCGGCGCGCUUAACACAUGCAAGUCGAGCGAGAACCAGGGCUUCGGCCCUGGGGACAGCGGCGAACGGGUGAGUGACACGUGGGUCAUCUGCCCUCGGCACCGGAAUAGCCCGGGGAAACCCGGAUUAAUGCCGGAUGGCCGACCGCUCUACGGGGCGGUCGGAAAAGGUAGCUUCGGCCUCCGGCCGAGGAUGAGCCCGCGGCGGAUUAGCUAGUCGGUGAGGUAAUGGCUCACCGAGGCGACGAUCCGUAGCUGGUCUGAGAGGACGAUCAGCCACACUGGGACUGAGACACGGCCCAGACUCCUACGGGAGGCAGCAGUGGGGAAUCUUGCGCAAUGGGCGAAAGCCUGACGCAGCGACGCCGCGUGAGGGAAGAAGGCUUUCGGGUUGUAAACCUCUUUCAGGAGGGACGAAGCCACUCGGGUGAAUAGCCCAGAGGGUGACGGUACCUCCAGAAGAAGCCCCGGCUAACUACGUGCCAGCAGCCGCGGUAAAAC
rnacentral:rRNA from 1 species